UAGACUGUAGAGUGUAGACUGUAGAGUGUAGAGUGUAGACUGUAGACCUCUACAGUCUACACUCUACAGUCUACACUCUACAGUCUA
rnacentral:pre_miRNA from 1 species